rnacentral:rRNA from 1 species
AUUGAACGCUGGCGGCAUGCUUUACACAUGCAAGUCGAACGGUAACAGGCCGCAAGGUGCUGACGAGUGGCGAACGGGUGAGUAAUGCAUCGGAACGUGCCCAGUCGUGGGGGAUAACGCAGCGAAAGCUGCGCUAAUACCGCAUACGAUCUCUGGAUGAAAGCGGGGGACCGAAAGGCCUCGCGCGAUUGGAGCGGCCGAUGUCAGAUUAGGUAGUUGGUGGGGUAAAGGCCCACCAAGCCAACGAUCUGUAGCUGGUCUGAGAGGACGACCAGCCACACUGGGACUGAGACACGGCCCAGACGCCUACGGGAGGCAGCAGUGGGGAAUUUUGGACAAUGGGCGCAAGCCUGAUCCAGCAAUGCCGCGUGCAGGAAGAAGGCCUUCGGGUUGCAAACUGCUUUUGUACGGAACGAAACGGUCCGGGUUAAUACCCUGGGCUAAUGACGGUACCGUAAGAAUAAGCACCGGCUAACUACGUGCCAGCAGCCGCGGUAAAAC